AAGGCAGGCUCUUUGUUUGUUGAGAAGAGCAGAACACACUACCGCCGGCAUCAGCUAGCUAGAGCUAGCCAGUAGCGAUGGCAUCCAACAAGAAGCCCAUUGCUGCCACCGCGCUCCUGUUCCUAGCGGUGGCACUCACGUUGGCGGCUUCUGUCCGGGCUCAGGCACUACUGGCUCCGACGCCUGCGCCUGCGCCAUCCCAAAAUCCCUGCCCCGCCGGUUUCAACAACUUACUUGCGUUUGAGAUAGCCAAGAAGGAAUUUCUUCUUAAUAACGGUACUAUGCUGCUAUUGUUCCCGUCUCGGGGCACCCAAAGCACCACAUCAAUGGCGCCGUCUGCGGCUAAGGGAGUGCGAGGUGUAGUCUGCAUCUGCUUUCUCUCUACAAACCGUAUAUUAAUUGGCGGCCCCCUCACAUGCCAGCAGCUGGUGUAGUCUGGCCUUCUCCGCUGAACCCCAUGCUCAACAUGUGUCCGGCCCGCACCUAUUUAUUACUCACAUACUAUAUAUAUAUAUAUAUAUAUGUACUCAUCUUCUAUGAUGAAUAAAUAAGUCACGCCGUUUAUUAAAUAUAUAUACAGAUAUAUGUAAUGCGUGAUAUGUGUUGGUGUU